AACGAACGCUGGCGGCAGGCUUAACACAUGCAAGUCGAGCGCCCCGCAAGGGGAGCGGCAGACGGGUGAGUAACGCGUGGGAAUCUACCCUUUUCUACGGAAUAACGCAGGGAAACUUGUGCUAAUACCGUAUAAGCCCUUCGGGGGAAAGAUUUAUCGGGAAAGGAUGAGCCCGCGUUGGAUUAGCUAGUUGGUGGGGUAAAGGCCUACCAAGGCGACGAUCCAUAGCUGGUCUGAGAGGAUGAUCAGCCACAUUGGGACUGAGACACGGCCCAAACUCCUACGGGAGGCAGCAGUGGGGAAUAUUGGACAAUGGGCGCAAGCCUGAUCCAGCCAUGCCGCGUGAGUGAUGAAGGCCCUAGGGUUGUAAAGCUCUUUCACCGGUGAAGAUAAUGACGGUAACCGGAGAAGAAGCCCCGGCUAACUUCGUGCCAGCCGCCGCCGUAA
rnacentral:rRNA from 1 species